AGAAAGUAGUAUAAUGGAGGUACAUGGAGUUUUGAGCUCUUUGGUGCAGGUUCGGUUCCUGUCUUUCUA
rnacentral:tRNA from 1 species